rnacentral:pre_miRNA from 1 species
UGUUAAGACUGUCAGUGUUUGGUUUCUAUCAAUUCUCAAACACUGGCAGUCUUAACAAA